rnacentral:sRNA from 1 species
GAGCAAGAACUACCGCUCUUCCUAAGUCAUCAGCCCCAUCUGCUCCAGUUCCUGAGGCAGGCAGAAAGAAGCAACAAUCCUCAAGUGAGCUUCUGUUUUUCUUCAUCAAACUGUUACCUUUCUCCUUUAUCUAAUUGUCUCCUUUACCGGCGAACAGGACCCCAAGCAUCUAAAAAACCGAUCCUUGCUUCUAAGGAGGAACCACUGAGAGCUGCAAUGCUCAAAAAGGCCGAAGAACUGCAAAAUACUGCCCUCAGAGAACUUGAGGUAUGA